rnacentral:rRNA from 1 species
AGUGAACGCUGGCGGUAGGCCUAACACAUGCAAGUCGAACGGCAGCACAGUAAGAGCUUGCUCUUACGGGUGGCGAGUGGCGGACGGGUGAGGAGUACAUCGGAAUCUACUUUUUCGUGGGGGAUAACGUAGGGAAACUUACGCUAAUACCGCAUACGACCUACGGGUGAAAGCAGGGGAUCUUCGGACCUUGCGCGAUUGAAUGAGCCGAUGUCGGAUUAGCUAGUUGGCGGGGUAAAGGCCCACCAAGGCGACGAUCCGUAGCUGGUCUGAGAGGAUGAUCGGCAACACGGAAACUAGGACACGGCCCAACCCCCCAGGGGGGGCGGCAGUGGGAAAUAUUGAAAAAGGGGCGAAACCCGCACCCACCCAUACCGGGGGGGUAAAGAGGGCUUGGGGUUUGUAAACCCUUUUUGUUGGAAAAAAAAAGCAGCAGUUUAACCCCCCUCUGUUCGGACGUAACCAAAAGAAAAAGCCCCGCCUACUUUCGG